GUGAAUCAUCGAAUUUUUGAACGCAAAUUGCACUUUCUGGUAUUCCGGAAAGUAUGCCUGUUUGAGGGUCAGUUAAAUCAAAAUCGGUGUUGUUUCUACCCGUAGUGGUGGGUGAUGCAUCGGAAUUGAGGCGUUCUUUACCUUUGGUUUAAGUGACUUAAAAUUAUGUUCGAUUUUUGAACUUAUUUAAAUUAUUACUUAGGUUCGUAAUUGCACAUAUUAGGUGCGGUCAUUGAUAUGAUUUCGGGUCUAUAAUUUUUCAUUAUGUUAUCU
rnacentral:misc_RNA from 1 species